rnacentral:rRNA from 1 species
UACGUAGGCAGCAAGCGUUGUUCGGAGUUACUGGGCGUAAAGGGUGUGUAGGCGGCUUCGUAAGUUCGGUGUGAAAUCUCCCGGCUUAACUGGGAGGGUGCGCCGAAAACUGCGAAGCUGGAGCGCAGGAGAGGAAAGCAGAAUUCCUGGUGUAGCGGUGAAAUGCGUAGAUAUCAGGAGGAAUACCGGUGGUGAAGGCGGCUUUCUGGACUGCUGCUGACGCUGAUACACGAAAGCGUGGGGAGCAAACAGG